UACGUAGGGACCGAGCGUUGUCCGGAAUCAUUGGGCGUAAAGAGCGUGUAGGCGGCUAUUUAAGUCCUGCGUGAAAUCCUGCGGCUCAACCGCAGACGGUCGUGGGAAACUGGAUGGCUAGAGUGCGGGAGAGGAGAGUGGAAUUCCUAGUGUAGCGGUGAAAUGCGCAGAUAUUAGGAAGAACACCGGUGGCGAAGGCGGCAUCCUGGACCGGCAUUGACGCUGAGGAGCGAAAGCCAGGGGAGCAAACGGG
rnacentral:rRNA from 1 species